rnacentral:rRNA from 1 species
UGCAAGUCGAACGCGAAAGGGACUUCGGUCCUGAGUAAAGUGGCGCACGGGUGAGUAACGCGUAGAUAACCUGUCUUUAUGUCUGGAAUAAUACGCCGAAAGGGGUACUAAUACCGGAUAUUUUUGCAUUGCAUAAGCAGUGUAAGCAAAGGUGGCCUCUGACAUAAGCUACUGCAUAAAGAGGGGUCUGCGUACCAUUAGCUAGUAGGUGGGGUAAAGGCCUACCUAGGCUACGAUGGUUAGCGGGUCUGAGAGGAUGAUCCGCCACACUGGCACUGGAACACGGGCCAGACUCCUACGGGAGGCAGCAGUGAGGAAUAUUGCGCAAUGGGGGCAACCCUGACGCAGCGACGCCGCGUGAGUGAGGAAGGCCUUCGGGUCGUAAAGCUCUGUCAAAGGGAAAGAAGUGCAUGGUGGUUAAUACCUGCCAUGUUUGACGGUACCCUUAAAGGAAGCACCGGCUAACUCCGUGCCAGCAGCCGC